GGCAACAGCAUUUUAAAAAAUGUGCCAGGUGAUCAGGUGUGCACCCAGGAUGAGAGCCGCUGGAUCCGAAGGCUCCUAGUGUCCACUCCUGAGAAAAGUGAGUGACCAGGGUGGCAGUUGUAGCCCCUGCUUUCCAUGGCCUUCUAAGUUAGAGGACCUGACUCUCAUCCAGCUCUGAACUUAGAGAAAGUUCAGGAUCCCCCUUCCCACUGUCGGUGGUUUCUGGAACAAGACUUCCUAUCUCAAUAUGGUGUCCGAUGAGCCUGACAGUGCCAGCAGGGCACCCUCUUCUCAGGCCCCACAGGGUUGCUGGUCUCCUGUCUAGAUUUUCUGUUUGUUUUUUGAAUGCCCUCCUGGACCCUCGGACCAAAUCUCAGCCUGCUUGUCCAGUGUCUGGUGACUCUGGCUUAACUCCUGUAACCUCUUCUUCACAGAAUCAAGCCAUUGUUCCUCGUGUCCAGAACCACCAGCUGGGAUCCCGCUUCCAUCAGAUUAAACCACACAGGAUCACAGUGGAGUCUCCUUCCGGAAUCUUCCCAGCCUCUAAACUCUUACUGCUCUCAAACCCCCUGACAGGAGAAUGAAAGCUGUCUCUUGUGGAGAGGAUAUUUUCAGCCGUCAUCACUACGGACUCUUUGAAAUGUACUACUUCAGAAAAGCCCCAGCGACUCCCUCUGGGCCUCACCCACCUGAGAUGACAUCACGACGCAAAUCCAGGGCUCACUCUCUUCAUACAGAUGGAAUGGUUCACUUGGCUUUUAGAGUGCAGACAAGCCGUUCGGUGGAGGGCAUGCCUCAGCCUGCACUCUCUGACUCAUGACAUGACUUCUCCGUGGAGAGCCAGAAUUUUUCUCAAGUGUAACAAUAUUAAUUAUCAAGUCACUUUAAAACACGUGUGAUGUAUGUGUGCAUUUAUUUCACAGGAAUGGUAUAAAGAUUAAAUACUUAAUGAAUCCAUUUUUCAUAUCAAGGAUAUAUUUGCCCUAUGCCUAAAUGUAUCUCUCCCUUCUGUUUCUCAUGAGAAAUAUAGCUAUCUUUAUUAUGUAAUCAGUAAUAUAUCAUUCCUUCUAAGCAGGAUCUAAUUUUAGCAACAUGAUGAAUGGCCCAGGAAUGUAUUCGACUGCCCUCUGCAGAAAGGAAUAUAUAUCAGACCUGCUCAGGUGUGUGUCAUUUCUUUAUAUUGGGAGCUUUCAGCAGCCCAAGUGGCAGCUGGGUUUUUCUGACUGAAAGCCCCAAGUGCUGUCUCUAUCUGGGCU
rnacentral:lncRNA from 1 species